AGCAAUGAGUGGAGAGACUCAUAU
rnacentral:siRNA from 1 species